rnacentral:rRNA from 1 species
UACAGAGGUCCCUGGCGUUGUUCGGAUUUACUGGGCGUAAAGGGCGCGUAGGCGGCAAGGCGUGUUAAGUGUGAAAUAUCCGGGCCCAACCCGGAAAGUGCGCUUGAAACUACCUUGCUGGAGUGCGGGAGGGGGGUCGGAAUGCAGGGUGUAGCGGUGAAAUGCGUUGAUAUCCUGCAGAACACCGGAGGCGAAGGCGGACUCCUGGGACGCAACUGACGCUGAGGCGCGAAAGUCGGGGGAGCAAACA